AAAUUGAAGAGUUUGAUCAUGGCUCAGAUUGAACGCUGGCGGCAGGCCUAACACAUGCAAGUCGAACGGUAACAGGAAGCAGCUUGCUGCUUUGCUGACGAGUGGCGGACGGGUGAGUAAUGUCUGGGAAACUGCCUGAUGGAGGGGGAUAACUACUGGAAACGGUGGCUAAUACCGCAUAAUG
rnacentral:rRNA from 3 species